GAACCUUGCUCAAUCAGAUGGCA
rnacentral:siRNA from 1 species